rnacentral:ncRNA from 17 species
GGCUGACGGCACACGACUGGCGCAGGUGGGUCGACCACCAGGGAGUGACGUCGGGAGCAUCGACCGCCUGGGUGCUCCUC